GACGAACGCUGGCGGCGUGCUUAACACAUGCAAGUCGAACGGAAAGGCCCCCUUGUGGGGUACUCGAGUGGCGAACGGGUGAGUAACACGUGAGUAACCUACCCUUGACUUUUGGAUAACUUCAGGAAACUGGGGCUAAUACCGGAUAGGAGCUCCUGCUGCACGGUGGGGGUUGGAAAGUUUUGGCGGUUGGGGAUGGACUCGCGGCUUAUCAGCUUGUUGGUGGGGUAGUGGCUCACCAAGGCUUUGACGGGUAGCCGGCCUGAGAGGGUGACCGGCCACAAUGGGACUGCGAGACGGCCCAGACUCCUACGGGAGGCAGCAGUGGGGAAUAUUGCACAGUGAGCGGAAGCCUGAUGCAGCAGCGCCGCGUGCGGGAUGACGGCCUUCGGGUUGUAAACCGCUUUCGCCUGUGACGAAGCGUGAGUGACGGUAAUGGGUAAAGAAGCACCGGCUAACUACGUG
rnacentral:rRNA from 1 species